GAUGAAGGCUUCGGGUCGUAAAGCACUUUUGAGGGGAUGAGGAAGGACAGUACCCUCAGAAUAAGCCUCGGCUAACUACGUGCCAGCAGCCGCGGUAAAACGUAGGAGGCGAGCGUUAUCCGGAUUUACUGGGCGUAAAGCGCGUGUAGGCGGACGAGCAAGUUGGAUGUGAAAGCUCCUGGCUUAACUGGGAGAGGUCGUUCAAAACUGCUGGUCUUGAGUACAGUAGAGGGAAGUGGAAUUCCGGGUGUAGUGGUGAAAUGCGUAGAUAUCCGGAGGAACACCAGUGGCGAAAGCGGCUUCCUGGACUGGUACUGACGCUCAGACGCGAAAGCUAGGGUAGCAAACGGGAUUAGAGACCCCGGUAGUCCUAGCUGUAAACGAUGUAGACUUGGCGUAGGAGGGUUUAAAUCCUUCUGUGCCGCAGCUAACGCGAUAAGUCUACCGCCUGGGGACUACGGCCGCAAGGUUAAAACUCAAAGGAAUUGACGGGGGCCCGCACAAGCAGCGGAGCGUGUGGUUUAAUUCGAUGUUACACGAAGAACCUUACCAGGGUUUGACAUGCAGGUGGUAGGGAACCGAAAGGGGACCGACUCUUCGGAGAGCCUGCACAGGUGCUGCAUGGCUGUCGUCAGCUCGUGUCGUGAGAUGUUCGGUUAAGUCCGCUAACGAGCGCAACCCUCUCUGUGUGUUAUACGUGUCACACGGGACUGCCGGUCUUAAGCCGGAGGAAGGUGGGGAUGACGUCAAGUCAGCAUGGCCUUUAUAUCCUGGGCUACACACACGCUACAAUGGCCAACACAAUAGGUUGCGAAACCGCAAGGUGGAGCCAAUCCCCAAAGUUGGUCUCAGUUCAGAUCGUAGGCUGCAACUCGCCUGCGUGAAGACGGAGUUGCUAGUAACCGCAAGUCAGCUAUACUGCGGUGAAUACGUUCCCGGGCCUUGUACACACCGCCCGUCACGUCAUGGGAGCUGGCAACACCUGAAGCCGGUAUCCUAACCCGCAAGGGAGGGAGCCUCGAGGGGG
rnacentral:rRNA from 1 species